UACGUAGGGUGCGAGCGUUGUCCGGAAUUAUUGGGCGUAAAGAGCUCGUAGGCGGUCUGUCGCGUCGGUCGUGAAAACUUGGGGCUUAACCCUGAGCUUGCGGUCGAUACGGGCAUGACUGGAGUUCGGCAGGGGAGACUGGAAUUCCUGGUGUAGCGGUGAAUUGCGCAGAUAUCAGGAGGAACACCGGUGGCGAAGGCGGGUCUCUGGACAUUUCCUGACGCUGAGGCACGAAAGCCAGGGGAGCAAACGGG
rnacentral:rRNA from 1 species